rnacentral:rRNA from 1 species
GACGAACGCUGGCGGCGUGCUUAACACAUGCAAGUCGAGCGAUGAAGCACCUUCGGGUGUGAAUUAGCGGCGAACGGGUGAGGAACACGUGAAGAAUCUGCCUUCAACUCUGGGAUAACUCCGGGAAACCGGGGCUAAUACCGGAUAUGAGCCUUGAUCGCAUGAUCGGGGCUGGAAAGUUUUUCGGUUGAAGAUGACUUCGCGGCCUAUCAGCUUGUUGGUGAGGUAAUGGCUCACCAAGGAGACGACGGGUAGCCGGCCUGAGAGGGCGACCGGCCACACUGGGACUGAGACACGGCCCAGACUCCUACGGGAUGCAGCAGUUGGAAAUAUUGGGCAAUGGAGGAAACUCUGACCCAGCGACGCCGCGUGAGGGAUGAAGGCCUUCGGGUUGUAAACCUCUUUCAGUAGGGAAGAAGCGAAAGUGACGGUACCUACAGAAGAAGCACCGGCUAACUAUGUGCCAGCAGCCGCAGUAA